UUUGAAAUCUGGCUCCCUCUGGGGGUCCGAGUUGUAAUUUGCAGAGGGUGCUUUGGCGUUGGCGGCGGUCUAAGUUCCUUGGAACAGGACAUCGCAGAGGGUGAGAAUCCCGUUUGUGGUCGCAUGCCUUCGCCGUGUAAAGCCCCUUCGACGAGUCGAGUUGUUUGGGAAUGCAGCUCUAAAUGGGAGGUAAAUUUCUUCUAAAGCUAAAUACUGGCCAGAGACCGAUAGCGCACAAGUAGAGUGAUCGAAAGAUGAAAAGCACUUUGGAAAGAGAGUCAAACAGCACGUGAAAUUGUUGAAAGGGAAGCGCUUGCAGCCAGACUUGCCCGCAGUUGCUCACCCAGGCUUUUGCCCGGGGCACUCUUCUGCGGGCAGGCCAGCAUCAGUUUGGGCGGUCGGAUAAAGGCCUCUGUCACGUAUCUUCCUUCGGGAUGACCUUAUAGGGGAGGCGACAUGCGACCAGCCCGGACUGAGGUCCGCGCUUCGGCUAGGAUGCUGGCGUAAUGGCUGUAAGCGGCCCGUCUUGAAACACGGACCAAGGAGUCUAACAUCUAUGCGAGUGUUUGGGUGUCAAGCCCGAGCGCGCAAUGAAAGUGAACGGAGGUGGGAACCCUCGGGUGCACCAUCGACCGAUCCUGAUGUCUUCGGAUGGAUUUGAGUAAGAGCAUAGCUGUUGGGACCCGAAAGAUGGUGAACUAUGCUUGAAUAGGGUGAAGCCAGAGGAAACUCUGGUGGAGGCUCGCAGCGGUUCUGACGUGCAAAUCGAUCGUCAAAUUU
rnacentral:rRNA from 1 species